rnacentral:tRNA from 2 species
GGGCCCUGUGGUGUAACUGGUAACACGCGUCCCUUGCAUGGACGAGUAGCGGUUCGAAUCCGACAGGGUCCA